AUUGAACGCUGGCGGCAGGCCUAACACAUGCAAGUCGAACGAGUGGCGGACGGGUGAGUAAUGUCUGGGAAACUGCCCGAUGGAGGGGGAUAACUACUGGAAACGGUAGCUAAUACCGCAUACCAUCGGAUGUGCCCAGAUGGGAUUAGCUAGUAGGUGGGGUAACGGCUCACCUAGGCGACGAUCCCUAGCUGGUCUGAGCGGAUGACAAGCCAAACUGGAACUGAGGCACGGUCCAGACGCCGACGGGAGGCAGCAGUGGGGAAUAUUGGACAAUUGGAGCAAGCCUGAAGGAGCCAUGCAGCGUGUAUGAAGAAGGCCUUCGGGUUGUAAAGUACUUUCAGCGAGGAGGCGUUACGCGCAGAAGAAGCCCCGGCUAACUACGUGCCAGCAGCCGCGGUAAUUC
rnacentral:rRNA from 1 species